ACUCCUACGGGAGGCAGCAGUGGGGAAUAUUGCACAAUGGGCGCAAGCCUGAUGCAGCCAUGCCGCGUGUAUGAAGAAGGCCUUCGGGUUGUAAAGUACUUUCAGCGGGGAGGAAGGCGAUAAGGUUAAUAACCUUGUUGAUUGACGUUACCCGCAGAAGAAGCACCGGCUAACUCCGUGCCAGCAGCCGCGGUAAUACGGAGGGUGCAAGCGUUAAUCGGAAUUACUGGGCGUAAAGCGCACGCAGGCGGUCUGUCAAGUCGGAUGUGAAAUCCCCGGGCUCAACCUGGGAACUGCAUUCGAAACUGGCAGGCUAGAGUCGUGUAGAGGGGGGUAGAAUUCCAGGUGUAGCGGUGAAAUGCGUAGAGAUCUGGAGGAAUACCGGUGGCGAAGGCGGCCCCCUGGACAAAGACUGACGCUCAGGUGCGAAAGCGUGGGGAGCAAACAGGAUUAGAUACCCGGGUAGUCCCAUGA
rnacentral:rRNA from 1 species